AUUGAACGCUGGCGGCAGGCCUAACACAUGCAAGUCGAACGGUAACAGGAAGCAGCUUGCUGCUUUGCUGACGAGUGGCGGACGGGUGAGUAAUGUCUGGGAAACUGCCUGAUGGAGGGGGAUAACUACUGGAAACGGUAGCUAAUACCGCAUAACGUCGCAAGACCAAAGAGGGGGACCUUAGGGCCUCUUUCCAUCGGAUGUGCCCAGAUGGGAUUAGCUAGUAGGUGGGGUAACGGCUCACCUAGGCGACGAUCCCUAGCUGGUCUGAGAGGAUGACCAGCCACACUGGAACUGAGACACGGUCCAGACUCCUACGGGAGGCAGCAGUGGGGAAUCUUGCACAAUGGGCGAAAGCCUGAUGCAGCCAUGCCGCGUGUAUGAAGAAGGCCUUCGGGUUGUAAAGUACUUUCAGCGGGGAGGAAGGGAGUAAAGUUAAUACCUUUACUCAUUGACGUUACCCGCAGAAGAAGCACCGGCUAACUCCGUG
rnacentral:rRNA from 1 species